rnacentral:rRNA from 1 species
GACGUAGGAGGCGAGCGUUAUCCGGAUUCACUGGGCGUAAAGCGCAUGUAGGCGGAUGUCUAAGUCGUGUGUUAAAGCCCCUGGCUCAACUGGGGGAGGUCAUGCGAGACUGGAUGACUUGAGGGCAACAGAGGCACGUGGAAUUCCUGGUGUAGCGGUGAAAUGCGCAGAUAUCAGGAAGAACACCCGUGGCGAAGGCGGCUUUCUGGGACGGUACUGACGCUGAGACGCGAAAGCGUGGGGAGCGAACAGG